UCCGGGAAAACCCUAGAGAUAGGGCUUCUCCUUCGGGAGCAGAGUGACAGCUGGUGCAUGGUUGUCGUCAGCUCGUGUCGUGAGAUGUUGGGUUAAGUCCCGCAACGAGCGCAACCCUUGAUCUUAGUUGCCAUCAUUAAGUUGGGCACUCUAAGGUGACUGCCGGUGACAAACCGGAGGAAGGUGGGGAUGACGUCAAAUCAUCAUGCCCCUUAUGACCUGGGCUACACACGUGCUACAAUGGACGGUACAAAGAGCUGCAAGACCGCGAGGUGGGGCUAAUCUCAUAAAACCGUUCUCAGUUCGGAUUGUAGGCUGCAACUCGCCUACAUGAAGCUGGAAUCGCUAGUAAUCGCGGAUCAGCAUGCCGCGGUGAAUACGUUCCCGGGCCUUGUACACACCGCCCGUCACACCACGAGAGUUUGUAACACCCGAAGUCGGUGGGGUAACCUUUAUGGAGCCAGCCGCCUAAGGUGGGACAGAUGAUUGGGGUG
rnacentral:rRNA from 1 species